UACGUAGGGUGCAAACGUUGCUCGGAAUUAUUGGGCGUAAAGCGCACGUAGGCGGUUCGUUAAGUCGGAUGUGAAAGCCCUCGGCUCAACUGAGGAAGUGCACCCGAAACUGGCGAGCUUGAGUACGAAAGAGGAUCGCGGAAUUCCCGGUGUAGAGGUGAAAUUCGUAGAUAUCGGGAGGAACACCGGUGGCGAAGGCGGCGAUCUGGGUCGAUACUGACGCUGAGGUGCGAAAGCGUGGGGAGCAAACAGG
rnacentral:rRNA from 1 species